UACGUAGGGUGCGAGCGUUGUCCGGAAUUAUUGGGCGUAAAGAGCUCGUAGGCGGUCUGUCGCGUCGAUCGUGAAAACCUGGGGCUUAACCCUGAGCUUGCGGUCGAUACGGGCAUGACUGGAGUUCGGCAGGGGAGACUGGAAUUCCUGGUGUAGCGGUGAAAUGCGCAGAUAUCAGGAGGAACACCGGUGGCGAAGGCGGUUCUCUGGGCCUGUACUGACGCUGAGGAACGAAAGCGUGGGGAGCGAACAGG
rnacentral:rRNA from 1 species